rnacentral:rRNA from 1 species
GAUGAACGCUGGCGGCGUGCCUAAUACAUGCAAGUCGAGCGAACAGACGAGGAGCUUGCUCCUCUGACGUUAGCGGCGGACGGGUGAGUAACACGUGGAUAACCUACCUAUAAGACUGGGAUAACUUCGGGAAACCGGAGCUAAUACCGGAUAAUAUAUUGAACCGCAUGGUUCAAUAGUGAAAGACGGUUUUGCUGUCACUUAUAGAUGGAUCCGCGCCGCAUUAGCUAGUUGGUAAGGUAACGGCUUACCAAGGCAACGAUGCGUAGCCGACCUGAGAGGGUGAUCGGCCCCACUGGAACUGAGACACGGUCCAGACUCCUACGGGAGGCAGCAGUAGGGAAUCUACCGCAAUGGGCGAAGGCUUGACGGGGCAACGCGGCGUGAGUGAGGAAGGUCUUCGGAUCGUAAAACUCUGUUAUUAGGGAAGAACAAAUGUGUAAGUAACUAUGCACGUCUUGACGGUACCUAUUCAGAAAGCCGCGGCUAACUACG